rnacentral:rRNA from 1 species
GGUCCCGCCUGCCCUGUGACAAUACGUUUAACGGCCGCGGUAUUUUGACCGUGCGAAGGUAGCGCAAUCACUUGUCUCUUAAAUGGAGACCUGUAUGAAUGGCAUAACGAGGGCUUAACUGUCUCCUUUUUCCAGUCAAUGAAAUUGAUCUUCCCGUGCAGAAGCGGGAAUUUAUACAUAAGACGAGAAGACCCUAUGGAGCUUAAGAUACUAAGACAGAUCAUGUUAAAGACCCCUUACAAAGGAGCAAACUAAAUGACCCCCGUCCUAAUAUCUUUGGUUGGGGCGACCGCGGGGUAACAUAAAACCCCCAUGUGGAGCGGGGACACUAUUCCCCAAAUCCAAGGGCGACAGCCCUAAGCAACAGAACAUCUGACCAUCAAGAUCCGGCAAAGCCGAUCAACGAACCGAGUUACCCUAGGGAUAACAGCGCAAUCCCCUUCUAGAGCCCGUAUCGACAAGGGGGUUUACGACCUCGAUGUUGGAUCAGGACAUCCUAAUGGUGCAGCCGCUAUUAAGGGUUCGUUUGUUCAACGAUUAAAGUCCUACGUGAUC